CCAAUAGCGUAUAUUAAAGUUGUUGCAGUUAAAAAGAUCGUAGUUGAAUUUCGGGGUUAGUAGGUUGGUCAUGCCACUGGUAUGUACUGGUCUCACUGAUUCCUCCUUCCUGAUGAGCCGUAAUGCCAUUAAUAUGGUGUUGAGAGGAAUCAGGACUGUUACUUUGAAAAAAUUAGAGUGUUUAAAGCAGGCUAACGCUUGAAUACAUUAGCAUGGAAUAAUGAAAUAGGACGUUCGAUCUUAUUUUGUUGGUUUCUAAGAUUGACGUAAUGAUUAAUAGGGAUAGUUGGGGGCAUUAGUAUUCAAUUGUCAGAGGUGAAAUUCUUGGAUUUAUUGAAGACUAACUACUGCGAAAGCAUUUGCCAAGGAUGUUUUCAUUAAUCAAGAACGAAAGUUAGGGGAUCGAAGACGAUCAGAUACCGUCGUAGUCUUAACCAUAAACUAUGCCGACUAGGGAUCGGAUGAUGUUAAUUUUUUAAUGACUCAUUCGGCGCCUUACG
rnacentral:rRNA from 1 species